rnacentral:SRP_RNA from 1 species
AGCCGGGUCUUACGCAACGCUAGAACGUGAACCCCGUCAGGUCCGGAAGGAAGCAGCGGUAAGCGUGACCUAUCGUGUGCCGUAAGUUUCCCCGGUUACA